rnacentral:rRNA from 1 species
AGAGUUUGAUCCUGGCUCAGAGCGAACGCUGGCGGCAUGCUUAACACAUGCAAGUCUCACGGGCAGCAAUGUCAGUGGCGGACGGGUGAGUAACGCGUAGGUAUCUAUCCUUGGGUGGGGGACAACCGUGGGAAACUACGGCUAAUACCGCAUGAUGACUGAGGUCCAAAGGCGCAAGUCGCCUGGGGAGGAGCCUGCGUACGAUUAGCUAGUUGGUGGGGUAAAGGCCUACCAAGGCUGUGAUCGUUAGCUGGUCUGAGAGGAUGAUCAGCCACACUGGGACUGAGACACGGCCCAGACUCCUACGGGAGGCAGCAGUGGGGAAUAUUGGACAAUGGGCGAAAGCCUGAUCCAGCAAUGCCGCGUGUGUGAAGAAGGUUUUCGGAUUGUAAAGCACUUUCGACGGGGACGAUGAUGACGGUACCCGUAGAAGAAGCCCCGGCUAACUUCGUGCCAGCAGCCGCGGUAAUACGAAGGGGGCUAGCGUUGCUCGGAAUGACUGGGCGUAAAGGGCGCGUAGGCGGAUUGUACAGUCAGAUGUGAAAUUCCUGGGCUUAACCUGGGGGCUGCAUUUGAUACGUAUAGUCUUGAGUAAGGAAGAGGGUCGUGGAAUUCCCAGUGUAGAGGUGAAAUUCGUAGAUAUUGGGAAGAACACCGGUGGCGAAGGCGGCGACCUGGUCCUUGACUGACGCUGAAGCGCGAAAGCGUGGGGAGCAAACAGGAUUAGAUACCCUAGUAGUCC